rnacentral:misc_RNA from 1 species
UUAUUUUAAUAUUUUUAUGAUUAAAACGGAUCAAAUUUAAUUUUUAUUUUUUUUAAAUAAUCUCUAAUUAAUAUAUUUAAAAAAUUAAUUUUUUCCAUGAUAGUUUUAACAGUAAUGCCAAACAGACUUUAUAUUAAUUUUUAUAGUCACGUAAAAUACACAUGAUCAUAGCCACUGAUGGUACUGGUUUCUUUAUGGAGCCAAUGGUGGUCUUUGCAUCAUUGAUUUAUGAUGGAGUUCAUUUGAAUCAAUGAUAUACGUAUAUUGCCUUCUUCGCAUUAUGUUGAUUCAUGUGAAUUUCAUAUGUAUUAAAUGAUAAGAUCUACAUAAAUCAAAAAGCGAACUAGAUGCAUUAGAAGCGUCACAUGUCGCACAGCUCUACUGUAGAUGUUGAAGUUGCUUGGCAGAAUUAUGUGGUGUAAUAUUCAUAGCAAAUUUAGAUGCAAUUUGUUAACAUAAUUGACUUUCUAAAUAAUUGUGAACAUUAUUCCUCAAAAUAAUUGAUGAAGCCAUUAUGAAAAUUAAUGUUGAAGUUAUUGGGAAAUUGGUUGUUAAGUUGUACCUAAUGAUGUCAACUAGUUAAUAAUGCACCUUUUCUGUUUUCGUUUCACAGUUUUGGAGACGAAUUCACUAUCACUGGGUCAAAACUCAUUGUUAAUUUAGCUUAUACAUUUAAAUUGAGUCUAUUGCCAGACGCUUUUCUUUUGUUAGCAUGUAAAUCUAAUGGUUGAAUUUUUCUGCUAUGUAAUGCUAUAUUUAUGUGUAUCUGUUUUGGCAAUCUGAGUGUAAGGAACAGUGUUCUAAUUUCAGGCAUGUAAAACCAAGUAUGAGG